rnacentral:rRNA from 1 species
UGCCAGCAGCCGCGGUAAUACGUACUGGGCGAACGUUAUUCGGAAUCACUGGGCUUAAAGAGUACGUAGGCGGUCUGGUAGGUGGGGUGUGAAAGCCCACGGCUCAACCGUGGAAUUGCGCUCCAAACCAUCAGACUUGAGGGAGACAGGGGUGAGCGGAACAAAUGGUGGAGCGGUGAAAUGCGUUGAUAUCAUUUGGAACACCGGUGGCGAAGGCGGCUCACUGGGUCUCUUCUGACGCUGAGGUACGAAAGCUAGGGUAGCGAACGGGAUUAGAUA